rnacentral:rRNA from 1 species
UACGAAGGGGGCUAGCGUUACUCGGAUUGACUGGGCGUAAAGGGCGCGUAGGCGGAUGGUACAGUCAGACGUGAAAUUCCUGGGCUCAACCUGGGGGCUGCGUUUGAUACGUGCUGUCUGGAGUUCGGAAGAGGGUCGUGGAAUUCCCAGUGUAGAGGUGAAAUUCGUAGAUAUUGGGAAGAACACCGGUGGCGAAGGCGGCUCUCUGGGCCGAUACUGACGCUGAGGCGCGAAAGCGUGGGGAGCAAACAGG